rnacentral:tRNA from 1 species
AAAGGGAGACCUAAUUCAGGUAUGGGAUGAAAAAAAGUAGUCCCAACCAAGAAUCAAUCCCAAAAGGUCGGAGCGAGGCAAAAUUGGCUUUCAAACUAGGUUCUGGGUUCACACAAGACCUGAAUCAGGAACAAGGGCUAUUAGCUCAGGUGGUUAGAGCGCACCCCUGAUAAGGGUGAGGUCCCUGGUUCGAGUCCAGGAUGGCCCACCUGCACAGGUGGCAAAAACAAAGAAAAAAAGCGAGGAAUCAGCACCUGAUCUUACUUGUACAGUAAGAGAGAAUGCUGGCUCUGAGUACAGAGUCCAGAGGAACCUUGAAAACUGCAUAGAGCUAGGUGAAAAAGCCAAAAAAGAAGACCGCAAG